UACGUAGGGGGCAAGCGUUAUCCGGAUUUACUGGGUGUAAAGGGGGCGCAGACGGCGAUGCAAGCCAGGAGUGAAAGCCCGGGGCCCAACCCCGGGACUGCUCUUGGAACUGCGUGGCUGGAGUGCAGGAGGGGCAGGCGGAAUUCCUGGUGUAGCGGUGAAAUGCGUAGAUAUUAGGAGGAACACCAGUGGCGAAGGCGGCUUACUGGACGGCAACUGACGCUGAGGCUCGAAAGCGUGGGGAGCAAACAGG
rnacentral:rRNA from 1 species